rnacentral:sRNA from 1 species
UGAAACGGAAGUAAGCACGAUUUGUAUG